GCCUCGUUAGCUCAGUUGGUAGAGCGUCAGACUUUUAAUCUGAAUGUCAGGGGUUCGAACCCCCUACGAGGCU
rnacentral:tRNA from 1 species